GACGAACCGUGCGAACGUUGUUCGGAAUCACUGGGCUUAAAGGGCGCGUAGGCGGGUUUGCAAGUCUGCGGUGAAAGCCCCCAGCUUAACUGGGGAAGUGCCGUGGAUACUGCGGACCUUGAGGAGGGUAGGGGCAUCUGGAACAUUGGGUGGAGCGGUGAAAUGCGUUGAUAUCCAAUGGAACUCCGGUGGCGAAGGCGAGGUGCUGGACCCUUUCUGACGCUGAGGCGCGAAGGCCAGGGGAGCAAACGGGG
rnacentral:rRNA from 1 species